rnacentral:lncRNA from 1 species
UUAAUGUGUAAACAAAAUGUGGACGUGGACACCAAAGCGUGAAUAACAGAAUUAUAAAUUAGUUGUGGACAUGAACAUCUUAACAAAAUUAUAAACUAGUUGUGGACAUGAACAAUAUUCCUUCAAUUCCAUUCAUCAGGUCGGAAUCUAAAUUCAACUCUAAUCAAAAUUACAUCCAUCCACAUCAUGACAAAGCGCAAAUUCCUUAGAUCAGAAUUCUAUGACAUGCAAGAUCUAUUACUCUCCGACAAAAGGUAAAUGCUUCUUCGAUUUUUCUCUCCGCUCAUACUCACAAUAUCAUCUCUUUCUCAUUUUGAUUGA